rnacentral:rRNA from 2 species
CGGAGAAUGUUAUCACGGGAGACACACGGCGGGUGCUAACGUCCGUCGUGAAGAGGGAAACAACCCAGACCGCCAGCUAAGGUCCCAAAGUCAUGGUUAAGUGGGAAACGAUGUGGGAAGGCCCAGACAGCCAGGAUGUUGGCUUAGAAGCAGCCAUCAUUUAAAGAAAGCGUAAUAGCUCACUGGUCGAGUCGGCCUGCGCGGAAGAUGUAACGGGGCUAAACCAUGCACCGAAGCUGCGGCAGCGACACUGUGUGUUGUUGGGUAGGGGAGCGUUCUGUAAGCCUGUGAAGGUGUGUCGUGAGGCAUGCUGGAGGUAUCAGAAGUGCGAAUGCUGACAUAAGUAACGAUAAAGCGGGUGAAAAGCCCGCUCGCCGGAAGACCAAGGGUUCCUGUCCAACGUUAAUCGGGGCAGGGUGAGUCGACCCCUAAGGCGAGGCCGAAAGGCGUAGUCGAUGGGAAACGGGUUAAUAUUCCCGUACUUGGUGUUACUGCGAAGGGGGGACGG